rnacentral:RNase_P_RNA from 1 species
CCAGUUGGCUGGGCGGCCGCUGUUCCCUUCCGGGGGAAUGGAGGAAAGUCCGGGCUCCACGGAAACAGGAUGCCGGAUAACGUCCGGCGGGGGCGACCCCAGGGAUAGCGCCACAGAAAGCAAACCGCCCCGGCAUGCCGGGGCAAGGGUGAAAGGGUGCGGUAAGAGCGCACCGUGCGACCGGCAACGGGAGCAGCAUGGCAAGCCCCAUCCGGAGCAAGACCGAAUAGGGAUGGCCGCGGCGGUCUUCGGACGCGCCGGAGCGCGUUUCCGCGCUGCCGUCCGGGUUGGUUGCAUCGAGGCCGCCGGCGACGGCGACCCCAGAGGAAUGGCCGCCACGUCCGCAGCGAUGCGGGCCCCACAGAACCCGGCUUACAGGCCAACUGGCAUU